rnacentral:rRNA from 1 species
AUUGAACGCUGGCGGCAUGCUUUACACAUGCAAGUCGAACGGUAACAGGCCGCAAGGUGCUGACGAGUGGCGAACGGGGGAGUAAUGCAUCGGAACGUGCCCAGUCGUGGGGGAUAACUACUCGAAAGAGUAGCUAAUACCGCAUACGAUCUAUGGAUGAAAGCGGGGGACCGUAAGGCCUCGCGCGAUUGGAGCGGCCGAUGUCAGAUUAGGUAGUUGGUGGGGUAAAGGCUCACCAAGCCAACGAUCUGUAGCUGGUCUGAGAGGACAACCAGCCACACUGGGACUGAGACACGGCCCAGACUCCUACGGGAGGCAGCAGUGGGGAAUUUUGGACAAUGGGCGCAAGCCUGAUCCAGCAAUGCCGCGUGCAGGAAGAAGGCCUUCGGGUUGUAAACUGCUUUUGUACGGAACGAAACGGCUCUGGUUAAUACCCGGGGCUAAUGACGGUACCGUAAGAAUAAGCACCGGCUAACUACGUG